rnacentral:rRNA from 1 species
UACGGGGGGGGCAAGCGUUGUUCGGAAUUACUGGGCGUAAAGGGCUCGUAGGCGGCCAACUAAGUCAGACGUGAAAUCCCUCGGCUUAACCGGGGAACUGCGUCUGAUACUGGAUGGCUUGAAUCCGGGAGAGGGAUGCGGAAUUCCUGGUGUAGCGGUGAAAUGCGCAGAUAUCAGGAGGAACACCAGCGGCGAAGGCGGCGCUCUGGGCUGGAACUGACGCUGAGGAGCGAAAGCGUGGGGAGCGAACAGG